rnacentral:rRNA from 1 species
UCUUCCCUCUCUCUCCAGGCUUAACACAUGCAAGUCGCGGGGCAGCAUGGGGGUUGCUUGCACUCCCCGAUGGCGACCGGCGCACGGGUGAGUAACGCGUAUCCAACCUGCCCUUCACCACGGGAUAACCCGGCGAAAGUCGGACUAAUACCGUAUGUUGUCCAUUGACGGCAUCCGAUUUGGACGAAAGGUUUGGCGGUGAAGGAUGGGGAUGCGUCCGAUUAGCUGGACGGCGGGGUGACGGCCCACCGUGGCGACGAUCGGUAGGGGUUCUGAGAGGAAGGUCCCCCACACUGGAACUGAGACACGGUCCAGACUCGUACGGGAGGCAGCAGUGAGGAAUAUUGGUCAAUGGGCGUAAGCCUGAACCAGCCAAGUAGCGUGCAGGAUGACGGCCCUAUGGGUUGUAAACUGCUUUUAUGCGGGGAUAAAGUGGCCCACGUGUGGGUUUUUGCAGGUACCGCAUGAAUAAGGACCGGCUAAUUCCGUG